rnacentral:rRNA from 1 species
CCUAACACAUGCAAGUCGAACGGUAACUUUUCGAUUGAUUUCUUCGGAAUGAUUUGGCUAAGUUAGUGGCGGACGGGUGAGUAACGCGUGAGUAACCUGCCUUCGAGAGGGGAAUAACAAUCUGAAAAAGAUUGCUAAUACCGCAUAACAUAGCGAGGUCGCAUGGCUUUGCUAUCAAAGAUUUAUCGCUCGAAGAUGGACUCGCGUCCGAUUAGUUAGUUGGUGAGGUAACGGCUCACCAAGACCACGAUCGGUAGCCGGACUGAGAGGUUGAACGGCCACAUUGGGACUGAGACACGGCCCAGACUCCUACGGGAGGCAGCAGUGGGGGAUAUUGCGCAAUGGGGGCAACCCUGACGCAGCAAUGCCGCGUGAAGGAUGAAGGUUUUCGGAUUGUAAACUUCUUUUAUUAAGGACGAACAAUGACGGUACUUAAUGAAUAAGCUCCGGCUAACUACGUG